AUCCAAGUGACAAGUCCCAAAUAAGACGAAAUGCGCAUCCAGGAU
rnacentral:hammerhead_ribozyme from 1 species